UACUCCUUACCCGCUCCAUUUAUUCCCACAUGAUAAACUAGGGUUUUUUUUUUUCUUAGAAAUAAUAGCGAGGUCCCUUCCAGGCGGCGGGUCCUCUAUUAGCACUGUCGCUCUGAAUAGCCAAGGGCUUCGAAGAAGAAAGCAGAACAGUUUGUCACUGUAUCGCCAUGAGAGCUAAGUGGAAGAAGAAGCGCAUGAGGAGGUUGAAGAGGAAGCGCCGAAAGAUGAGGCAGAGAUCCAAGUAGCUGUCUUACCCAGGCUCUUCCAGCGCGAUUUGUUAGUUUUUUCCCCUGUUUUUGGCGUGCGAAACAUUUUACUGGGUUGUUAUGCUAUUGUGUUAGUAGGUUCCAGUUAACUGUGAAUGUGGCUGGAAGUGUUAUUUUGUUGAACUCUACAUAUGCAUUAAUGCCGAAAGGAUUGGUUCAGUAA